GAUGAACGCUGGCGGCGUGCCUAAUACAUGCAAGUCGAGCGAACAGACGAGGAGCUUGCUCCUCUGACGUUAGCGGCGGACGGGUGAGUAACACGUGGAUAACCUACCUAUAAGACUGGGAUAACUUCGGGAAACCGGAGCUAAUACCGGAUAAUAUAUUGAACCGCAUGGUUCAAUAGUGAAAGACGGUUUUGCUGUCACUUAUAGAUGGAUCUGAGCCGCAUUAGCUAGUUGGUAAGGUAACGGCUUACCAAGGCAACGAUGCGUAGCCGACCUGAGAGGGUGAUCGGCCACACUGGAACUGAGACACGGUCCAGACUCCUACGGGAGGCAGCAGUAGGUAAUCUUCCGCAAUGGGCGAAAGCCUGACGGAGCAACGCCGCGUGAGUGAUGAAGGUCUUCGGAUCGUAAAACUCUGUUAUUAGGGAAGAACAAAUGUGUAAGUAACUAUGCACGUCUUGACGGUACCUAAUCAGAAAGCCACGGCUAACUACGUG
rnacentral:rRNA from 1 species